AGAUACAAACGCAAGGAAAUAAACGUUUUUCAGGGCCGCUUCUCGUCAGAUUCGCCACGCUGCUGGGUGGCAGAAGCAACGCCAUAGCGAAGCAGCACCCACGCCCCGCACGGAUCCACAAGCACCGUUGUUUUCUUUUUGACUUCCUCACCCUACCCCUCUCGGGGCCUUGAAAAGGUUUUGCACGCGAGUCUGUGGACGGCUUUCGUCUUCGUCUUUCUCACGCACAUUUUGAUAGCCCCUUCCUCCAGUAGCGGACGCUCUCACACACCUGUCUUCCUCUUCCUAGGCGCCGCCACUACAAGCAAAAACGAAAGACGAACUGCUUUUUAUUUUUUUUUUGCGCCUUGUCUCUUCGAAGCGAGCGCUCAUCCGACGUGGUGGCAGCCACACACACACACACACACGAAGAACGAAGAGGAGAACAGUAAGCGGAAAAGGAAGUCGGACAGGAGCAACAAUACAAAAAAAGCGAGCCUUGACCCUCGUGCAUCCUUUCCAUCGGACGCAGCCGCUGUCCCCCCCCCCUACACACACGCACACGUACCACCACUCUCCAUUCUCCGUCAUCACAGCUUUCCUGUGAUCCGCUCACGCUGAUUCAGAAGGUGCAGCGUCCGGCAACGCACAAGCAACAAGGAAGAGGAGAACAGACCGUACACCGUCGCACAAGAUUCGCAGAUCUGCGCCGGAACGACAACAAAAGCAAAACGACAGAGCAAAAAAAAAGUAAGCGGGUAGUCGAGUCUCUUCAACGCGACGACCCAAAGCGCACGGGCGCAACAGACGGACACACAGCGAUACCCUCGCGCCUCCAUUGCGCUGUUUUUUUUUUGUGCCGGCUCUUUUCGUGCUCUUCGUUGUCGGUUUCUUGUGUUGCCGUACGUGCUUCAGCACGCUUUUUCGUGCUGCGUGUGCGUGCGCGUGUGUCUCGUUGUCGCUCCUUUUCGGUGUUCCAGCUGUUUCUCAAACGAUCCCGUAAGUUUGCCACAGUGCGUGCCUCGACCGGCUGAUCUCCGCACCUGCUUUUUUUUUCGCUGUUGUUCUCCUUCCAGGGUGGAACGUUUCGGCCAGGGAGGCGAGCUCAGAGUGGUCGGGGUGGCUGCUUUGCAGGUAUCCCCUCCCUCCUUUUUCUUCUCUUCUUCUUUUGCCUCUUCCCAGAGCUCCUCCUCGCUCGCACAAGUAUCAUUAUUGUGUAUUUCUUUUUUUUUAUCUGGUUGCUGCCACUUCUGCUUCGUUGGUGCUCUUGGUUUUCGGCCUACACGCGAUUCGCCUCCCUCAUCUUCUCUCCUUGUUGGUUCGUUCUUCUGGGUUUGCUGUCUUUAUUUUUCCUUGUGUGUGUGUGUGUGUGAAGAGGGAGCGGAGGGGGAUCACGGUUUGCCGUCGCCGCAUACAUCUCUCGUGCACUCGUUCUCAAUACGAACGCGUGGAAGUGUAAUUUCCAGGCUUUGAACACGUGAUAUAGGGCCGCGUUACCGGUGGCCAACAAGUAGAGAGGAAGGGGGCCCAGACCGUGGCCAAGGUGACGAACACGCAACUUCAAGUCUCUGCACUCCCCACUCCCGCAACACCCGCGGACCCGAACUCCGUUUUGGUGGUAGGGCAGAAGGAGACUUCUCCUAUCCUUUCGUGCCAUUCAUACGCAACUGUCGCCUCCGCACGAGCAUUCGUGCAGAGAGGGAGUGCACAAGCGGGGCACUGCACAUCACGGUGAGCGGACCUCUUCUGUUCUAUCGGGGCCGGAAGCUCAACCAGAGCAGGGCCGCCCCUUGGCGGUGUACCCGCGCUUCUUCUUUCACCCUUUUCCUCCUCUUCCCUCUUCUCACGCUUCUUUCUUCUCCGGAUCGUUCUCAACUUUUUUCUUUCCUUUUCGCUGUUCCUGUGGGCCCAUUUGCUUGUGUGCGUGUGUGUGCAUGCGCGCACUCGUAG
rnacentral:misc_RNA from 1 species